rnacentral:lncRNA from 1 species
CAGUGCUCAAGCAGUGAGAAAUGGAGCUGUUGCAAAACACGGCCAAGCACAUCGUAGCCGUUUCCUGGUUCCUGCGCUUGACUCUAUGAACUUAACCUCUGCUGCCAGUUUUAUGUCAGCUUGACCCAAACUUGAGUCAUUUGUGAAGAGGUCGCCUCAGUUGAGAACAUGCACCUAUAGAAUGGCCCAUGGGGCUGGUGCUUUAAGAAAGCAGGCCGAGCAAACAAUGGAGAGCAAUCCAGAAAACACCCUUCUUCCACAGCCUCUGCAUCAGCUCCUGUCUUCAGGUUCCUCCUGUCUUUCCCUGACUUCCCUUCACGAUGGAUUGUAAUCUGUGAGGAGAGACUCGGGCCUGAGUUGCUCCUUGCGGACACUGAUUCUUUUCCUUGGGCUUCCUUCUAUGCUCACGUUGGGGCCUUACUGUAUGUGGGCUGAUGCUCAAACCGAUGCUGCAUUUAUCAGUUUGUACGCGUGUCGGGGGCUGUGUAACUUAUUUGUCAGUGGUUCAUGAAUAUUAUAGAGCCAUUGUUCAGCCUAGAGAAACGGAGGACCAGAAGGUACAAAUCCCAUCGCUGUCCACCCCACUGAGCCCCGCCUCCCCAAGGGGCGUAGCAGACAGGCCUGUUUGGGGGUUAUCUGUAGAAUGUAGAUCCAACUUCUCCCUUUGGAAGGUCCCGCAAGCCUGGAAGGCAAGACCCUGCCCCUUACCUCGCCCUAAUUUGGAGGACAAGAGGAUGUGCGGAAGAGACUGUCCCAUCUGCCCCGGGACAGUACACAAGCAACCACAAUACAAACUAGGCCUUGCUCUUACUUGUCUUGCUCAACUCCUACCCGUUUUCCGCCCCGAGUCCCGGGUGCCAAUCAGCCCCCAGUUCGGCGCUGCGGACACUCACCACGCCACUCGAGGGACGGUUCCUGGAUGUGAGUCAAAUCUUGGGCGAUGCCCUGGUGAAUCCCCAGCAGCAGCAGCUGUUGCAGCCAGAGCAGCUGCAGCAUCGCUAACCAUUGCACCAUCAGGCACGCUAGGUGACACCCACGGGAAUCAGAACCGUGUCCCCUGCUCUGGACUAGGCUGCAGGAGGCAAGAGAAGCUACCACUCUUCUUGAGGACCACGCCAUCCCAGAGCCCUGGAGAUGAACUCGCCUCCCUUGUCGCCACAGCGUGUACACUUGGGACUCUGGGCGUGGAGACGCAAAUAGCGGAGUUUUCGCCGCCCCGCCCACACUGCUUUGGGGAGGGAGCAGGAAAAAGGGCCGGGCCCUGUGCAGCUUAAACACUCUGGCCUUUUGGGGUUAGGAGAAAGUAGGGCUAAAGCAGCACCGUGGCUCCCCUUCCCUGCUCCAUGAGUGCUCAAACUUCUCUCUCGGAUUUGCUGCAAUUCCUGGUCACCCGUCCCCAGUGUGGGUGAGCGAGCUAAUCCUCUCCAGGAGAAGAAACCUGCCCACUGGAUUUGCAAGGGUUUGGCUGCCGGCAGAGGAGUCAAAAGAGCUGCCGGGUGAACUCAGGCCCGGGAUGCCUCUGGAAUGCAGAGCACAGGAGACACCUAGGGGCCCAACCUGGUCUUCAACAUUGCUCCAGAGUAACCAGAAGUCACCUUCAGUAUCCAGCUUUAUCCUAUUUUAAAAUAACCCCAGGCUUCCGUUUUCUUAGAUCAUCUUCAUCUAAUCAAAUAUCCCACACUGUAGAGUUGAAGAACCCAGUCAGAAAGGUGUGUGACUGGAUCUCGGUUACUCCUUAACUCAACAAAACUUACUCCCUAAAUUAGUAGACAACAACAAAUAAAUACAAAACAUCAGGCUGCCCAAAC